rnacentral:rRNA from 1 species
GGCCUGGCCGGGCGGUCUGCCUAACGGUAUGUACUGUCUGGCCGGGUCUUACCUCUUGGUGAACCGGCGUGCUCUUUACUGGGCGCGUCGGCGAACCAGGACUUUUACCUUGAGAAAAUUAGAGUGUUCAAAGCAGGCUUACGCCCGAAUACAUUAGCAUGGAAUAAUAAAAUAGGACGUGCGGUCCUAUUUUGUUGGUUUCUAGGAUCGCCGUA